GGGUAGAGGAAGGCGGGUCCCUGGCUCGGCUCUACCCCCAUGGAUCUAGGUGGGCUCAAUGUCAUCACAAGGGUGCUUAAGAGGGAAAGAGGAAGCCAUGAGGGUCAGAGUCAAAGGAAGACUUGAAGAUACUACACUGCGGACUUUAAAGAUGAAGGAAGGGGCGAAAACCAAGAAUGUGGGAAGCCUCUAGAAGCUAGAGAAGGCAAGGAAACAAAUUUUCCACUAGAGCCUCCAGAAGGAACACAGCCCUGCUGACCCACUGUAAUGUCUGACCUCUAGAUGUGUAAGGGUAGUAAGACUGAAAGUCUCAGAAAGGCACUGUUAAAUUCUUAUUCCUCAACUAUGCAACUCAAAACUGGGGUCCUCAGCAGUGAGCGAGGGGUGAGAGAAGACACUGUAUAAACAUGGCACAUCCUCCUGGAAAGUCAACUUUACUCAAAGGUUCUUACACACAGUGACAGCUAGCAGAGUCUAAAAUGCUGACAUUAUGACUUAGAGAUGUGAUAAAGAGAAACAUCUAUUGCAUUUUCUACAACAGCAGCAACUACAAAAAGAGACAAUAUCUAUUCAGCACCUACUGUGUUCCAGGCACACUAUAUGAAUUACUUUGUUUAAUUUGCAAGCAAUUUUGUGAGUGGCUCGUGUGGAAUGACUUAUCCUGGAAUUUAGAGUUGAAGAUAAUCCUGAUGCUUCAAAGAGAAGAGUUGGAACACAGUCCUUUUUUCUAAACAGAGGAAUUGUUGAAUAUGCGACUGAACCUCUGACUUAACUAAUUAGUUAAUUUGGAGCAGAGUUUGAACACAGUCCUUUUUCUAAACAGAGGAAUUGUUGAAUAUGCAACUGGUCCUCUGACUUAACUAAUUAUUUAAUUUGGAAGUUAUAGGUUUUUUAUUACUUGAGGAGCAGCUUUCUCUGAACAAAUACAGUGUCCCCUGGGGUGUCCAAAUUGUGACAGAAAAGUAGCGCCAGCUUGAAACUAGCUAGUCAUCACAUAGUGGCAUCAUGUGAAUGAAGAAUCCCCCAAAUCUGUGACCCUCUUCUAUCCUUAUGAACUAAUUCAAUAAAUAAAUGAGCACUUUCUCAGUUCCCAAACUGAGAGCAGUUUAAAAAAAUAAUGAGAGCACAGAUAUCUAUUUAGAGAGAUGGCGAGAUAGAGGAGAGAGCAAGUUGCACACCACGAAACAAAGGGAAAGAUAAGAAGAGAGAGUGUGUCACUACUUCCCCGUGGCAGAAUCACAAUCUUUUUUGGAUGUCAUGUUGAAAAGAUUCCCAAUUCGUAGUUCUGUGAGCUAAAGCAGAUGGAUGCUCCAUGUUGGUACAAAUUCCUAUUUGAAGCAGUGUGGUUGCAAAGAUGGGGUUUGGGUCAUUUGAUUUUCUCCGAAAAACAAUCUUGUGUAACUGUUAAAAGAAUUUAUAAUACCCAAUGCAAUGUAUCAUCCGUGAUGCUUCUUCAAAAAUGUUAAAUAAAUGCUGAAACCAGUGUU
ensembl:lncRNA SAMMSON survival associated mitochondrial melanoma specific oncogenic non-coding RNA